CCCAAGUACCUGCUACUACAGGUGCACGCCACCAUGCCCAGCCUGUACUUCGUUUCUGAGGAUCAAGGCCUCACAGACCCUGUGUGUGUGAGUGGGACCGUGGUCACUGUUUUCUUAGUGGAUUGGCUCCUCCUCAUUAGUAGAGAGACCUAUGAUGCCUCCAUGCCCUGCAGUUCCAGCUUUUAAAGUAGUGUGUGUGUGUGUGUGUGUGUGUGUGUAUGUGAGUCCUAUUGGGGUCCACCUUUCAGCCCUGUCUUGCAGCUCAAACUCCAGCCACAACUGUGGCCUCGUGCAGCUCAGACAAAUCAGGUUGGCUCAGGGGCUUUUCCUACUUUAAGGCAGAGGGUGAGAAGGCUGUAGCUGGGCCCAGCUAACAUCUCACCUGCUCCUGGGUCAAGAGGUGAUACAGUUGGAGGUCAGACCAGGCUGAGCCAUUUCCUGGGCCAGGAGUAUCUUAUAGCAUGGCACAGGACAGCACCAGGAGGCCUCACCUUCUUCCUGCUCAGAAAAGCCCACUCCUUGACUCUGGCCCCGUGGCAAGCAAUCAUCUGUCCUUUAUCUCAUGCCUGGCCCUCUAGGCAAUGUUGGAGACCAAGAGGGUAGGGGAUGGAAGUGGCUGAGCCAGGAUUUGAACCCAGGGCAUGGCGUUUCUCAGCAGGGUUGGCACCAGCAUUCUUGUUGAGAUGAUUUGUCAUUGGGUAAGCUGGUCCUUUCAUUUUAGGUGUUUGCUAUCCCUGGCCCUGCCCCCUGAAUGCCAGGGUGUCCUGCAAUCAUUGUGAUGACCAAAAGCAUCCCAUGUAUUUCUAGUGGUCUCCUAGGGACCAGGAGGAGAGAGACCUGGGUAAGUCCACUUCAGAUUCAGCUAUAAAAAGGGAUAUUAUCCUUGUGGUUAGUUUAGCUGUCAUGGGACACAGCAGGACUCAGUAAAUGUACUUCUCUCUCUUCCAGAAAGGGGUACUUUGAGGCUCUACUGCCUUUCUUGGCAGGAGGCCUGAGGCCCCCCAGCCCUUGAGGCUCAGCUGUGAAGCAGGGUGCUGCUCCUCAGUGUCUCAGCUGGAACCUCGAACAAAUCAUUGAUUCCUCUACCGCCUCUGUGCUCACCCUGCGAGCUUUGAGGACUCAGCAGACUCUAAAUGUUUAAGCUUGCAGCUGACAAGUUUACAGGCAUUAGGAUACAAGAUCCGUACAGGUGUGAGCUGGGCCUGUGGGUCACUGGAAGAGGAGGAAGAGACUGAAGGUGAUGAGGAGCCCGAGAGGCCCCGCCCCCAUCCAGGCCACCUUGCUCUGGCAUCCCCCAUCCUGCUCAUUUCCUCGGGAACAGGCACUGGACACUGGGGCUGGUGGGCUACCACGGGCCACUGAGAGAGCGGGGAAGGAGGUAAGGUUAGGGUGUGGGGGCAGGCAGAGGGGAUGCGGGGAAGAGGGAGGUGCUGCCCCAGCCCAGAGAGACUCUUCUGGGACGGAUGAAAGAAGGGGAGGGACAGCCAGCAAGAGAGGUCAGAGGGGUCCCACCGUCUAUGCUUGGGGAAGCUGAGUUUCAGCCCAACUUGGCCUCUAGCCCAGUGCGAGUCAGACCCCGACUCUGACCCCAGGCAGCCAGAGCGGGGGGCUGGGAACUCACUGCCUCUGUCCCCAGCAGCAGUGUGCCUGUGCUGACUUUGGUUCCCUCCUCAGGGCCCAGCCCCUCCCAGGGCACCGCUGAUGGUGCUGACGACUCCAGGUAAAGCCCCUCCACUCCUUGUCUAGACCCUGUCCAUCUCCAGCCCAAGAUGGCCCACAAUGGGCUCCUACUCAAGCCAGGCCUGUCCUGGGGCUGAACAAUGAGGGGCUGGGUUCCCUGAGCCACGCCCAUGGUUGGGGGUGGUUAGGACCAGAGCAAGGGGAAACCUGGUGAUGGCAGUAGCAGCAGCAGUGGCCCUGACAGUGAGCAAGGCUGGUGCGUGACCAGUGGGGCCUCUGGGACUUGCAGCUGAGCUCUGAGGACAGGGAAGGUGUUGGUCUGACCAUGGUUGGAGGCCAAAAAGACCUGGGGGCAGGGCCCUCC